AUUGAACGCUGGCGGCAGGCUUAACACAUGCAAGUCGAGCGGGGGAGGUUGCUUCGGUAACUGACCUAGCGGCGGACGGGUGAGUAAUGCUUAGGAAUCUGCCUAUUAGUGGGGGACAACAUCUCGAAAGGGAUGCUAAUACCGCAUACGUCCUACGGGAGAAAGCAGGGGACCUUCGGGCCUUGCGCUAAUAGAUGAGCCUAAGUCGGAUUAGCUAGUUGGUGGGGUAAAGGCCUACCAAGGCGACGAUCUGUAGCGGGUCUGAGAGGAUGAUCCGCCACACUGGGACUGAGACACGGCCCAGACUCCUACGGGAGGCAGCAGUGGGGAAUAUUGGACAAUGGGCGGAAGCCUGAUCCAGCCAUGCCGCGUGUGUGAAGAAGGCCUUUUGGUUGUAAAGCACUUUAAGCGAGGAGGAGGCUACCUGGAUUAAUACUCUAGGAUAGUGGACGUUACUCGCAGAAUAAGCACCGGCUAACUCUGUGCCAGCAGCCGCCGUAAUAC
rnacentral:rRNA from 1 species